rnacentral:rRNA from 1 species
ACACAUGCAGUCGAGGGGCAGCACGGGUAGCAAUACUUGGUGGCGACCGGCGCACGGGUGAGUAACGCGUUUGCAACCUACCUCUAACUGGGGCAUAGCCCGAAGAAAUUCGGAUUAAUACCCCAUAACACUAUGAUUGGGCAUCUAUUUAUAGUUAAAGUUUCGACGGUUAGAGAUGGGCAUGCGUAACAUUAGCUAGUUGGUGAGGUAACGGCUCACCAAGGCUACGAUGUUUAGGGGGUCUGAGAGGAUGAUCCCCCACACUGGUACUGAGACACGGACCAGACUCCUACGGGAGGCAGCAGUGAGGAAUAUUGGGCAAUGGGCGAAAGCCUGACCCAGCCAUGCCGCGUGAAGGAUGACAGCGCUAUGCGUUGUAAACUUCUUUUGUAUGGGAAGAAACACUCCUACGUGUAGGGGCUUGACGGUACCAUACGAAUAAGCAUCGGCUAACUCCGUGCCAGCAGCCGCGGUAAUACGGAGGAUGCAAGCGUUAUCCGGAUUUAUUGGGUUUAAAGGGUGCGUAGGCGGAAAAUUAAGUCAGUGGUGAAAUCCUGCGGCUCAACCGUAGAACUGCCAUUGAUACUGGUUUUCUUGAAUAUAGUUGAGGUAGGCGGAAUGUGUAAUGUAGCGGUGAAAUGCUUAGAUAUUACACAGAGCACCGAUUGCGAAAGCAGCUUACUAAACUGUGAUUGACGCUGAGGCACGAAAGCGUGGGGAUCGAACAGGAUUAGAUACCCUGGUAGUCCACGCUGUAAACCAUGAUCACUCGUUGUUGGCGAUACAUUGUCAGCGACUGAGCGAAAGCAUUAAGUGAUCCACCUGGGGGAGUACGAUCGCAGAUUGAAACUCAAUGAUUGACGGGG